GACGAACGCUGGCGGCGUGCUUAACACAUGCAAGUCGAACGGAAAGGCCCUGCUUUUGUGGGGUGCUCGAGUGGCGAACGGGUGAGUAACACGUGAGUAACCUGCCCUUGACUUUGGGAUAACUUCAGGAAACUGGGGCUAAUACCGGAUAGGAGCUCCUGCUGCAUGGUGGGGGUUGGAAAGUUUCGGCGGUUGGGGAUGGACUCGCGGCUUAUCAGCUUGUUGGUGGGGUAGUGGCUUACCAAGGCUUUGACGGGUAGCCGGCCUGAGAGGGUGACCGGCCACAUGGGGACUGAGAUACGGCCCAGACUCCUACGGGAGGCAGUAGUGGGGAAUAUUGCACAAUGGGCGGAAGCCUGAUGCAGAAACGCCGCGUGCGGGAUGACGGCCUGCGGGUUGUAAACCGCUUUAGCCUGUGACGAAGCGUGAGUGACGGUAAUGGGUAAAGAAGCACCGGCUAACUACGUG
rnacentral:rRNA from 1 species